AACUAAACAUUCACGAGUAAUAUGAUUCAUUUUAGAUCAUAUACAUUGCACCCAUCUAGUAAUUUAUCAAACUCUUACCUUCAUUACAUCAUUUCAUCAUUUCUUUCUUACAUUACAUUUACCUCAAAAUAAGCUUUACAUUCUUUCUUUAUAUCACUAAUCAUCACAUACAAAAGAUGAUCAUAAGGUACUUUACUACAAAAUGAAAUCCAACAUUGGUGGCCUCUGUCUAAGGCGCGAUACCUUUACCUCGGUAUAUUACAUUCUCCACCCCUUAAAAUAAUUUCGUUCGCGAAAUUACGCAUACCUUAGCUCGUCGAUUCGAAUAGAUGCGGGUACUCCCGCCGCAUCGACUCCUCGA
rnacentral:lncRNA from 1 species